GACGAACGCUGGCGGCGUGCUUAACACAUGCAAGUCGAACGGAAAGGCCCUGCUUUUGUGGUGCGCUCGUGUGGCGAACGGGUGAGUAACACGGGUGUAACCCGCCCCUGUCCUUGGGAUAACUUUAGGAAACUGGGGCUAAUACCGGAUAGGAGCUCCUGCUGCAUGGGGUGGGAUAGAAAGUUUCGGCGGUUGGGGAUGGACUCGCUGCUUAUCUGCUUGUUGGUGGGGUAGUGGCUUACCAAGGCUUUGACGGGUAGCCGGCCUGGGAGGGUGACCGGCCACAUUGGGACUGAGAUAGGGCCCAGCCUCCUCCGGGAGGCAGCGGUGGGAAGUAUGGCACAAUGGGCGGAAGCCUGAUGCGGCACCGCCGGGUGCGGAAUACCGGCCUUCGGGUGGUAAACCGCUUUCGCAGGUACCAAGGCGUGAGUGACGGUAACGAGUAAAGAAGCACCGGCUAACUACGUG
rnacentral:rRNA from 1 species